AGUUUAAUUAAGAGUGCAUUUUCAAUGAAUAAUGUAUUAAUAAGUAAUACAAACUAAUUGUAAACAACUGUCAUGUGUAGGACUUGAACUUUGACCUGUGGUCUCUGAUAUGAGCGAUGAAAUUGAGUUUUUCACCCUUUAUAAAUGGAAAAGUGUUUUUGUGUCAAUCAGUGCAUAUAAGGCCAAAUCAAACUGGAGACAGUGCGUAUAAUUACGGAAAAGUAUUUUAGUUCAGUAGAAAAUCUGAAUAUGUGUCUAUUGUUUCUGCCACCUUUGGUGAUAAACCCAGUUAACUGUUGACCCCUCAGAGCGCCUCUUGUGGAGACCGGAAGUGCAGACAGAGGCAGGUCCGUGUUACAGUUCCGUGCUGCAGCUUCUCUGCGGCCUGUGUGAGGACCUGUGAGCGGACUGAGCGGAACCUCCUCACACUUAACACACAUGAAGAAGUAGUCCCUCCCACGCGGCUGCCUCUGUCCGUGGUACUAGGGUCGGCUCCGCGGUGCUGCGGCUCAGAGACACGUCACAGCGCCGGUCUGAGACAAGCUGAAGUCCGCGUGCAGCUCAGGGUGCGGAGUUCUCGGUGGAUUCAGACGGUACCGGCUGCCAUCUCCGCUCUUUCAUCUCCCAUCACGCUUACUGCCGGUGCGGCCCCGCCACCUCCGCUACCUCCUUGACUCUCAUUGGUUCUCCUUCUUGUCGCUUCCUGUUUGCAACUCCUGAUUGGCUUUCCUCCACCGACCAUGCCCCCGUUUUUAUUUGCAAGCAGUUUGGACCAAUCGCAGCUUGGCUUGCGGCCAGAGGGCGGGAGGAGGAAGCUGGGGCGGGGCCAGAGUCAGACUGACAGAAAUGGGGGAGAAGGGGCAGAUUUGUGAGGAGAAACUACCCCAGCAGGGCUCUUUGUGCUCAUAUGACGAGGUAGAAAGUGCACAAGGGCAGGUGUGGGUGGAUGUUCGGCCUGGUGAGGGGCAUUUCUGCUAUCCUCCCCCUCCCCCCGCGUCUCUGUCUCAGGAAGUUGAGAGUGGAGUGAAUGCUGCUGCUGCCAUGUUUAAACCUGCAGAGCAUCCAUGUUAAAGGAGUAAACAACACAAAGACUGUUCUGCCCGAGUCAGCUCCACUGCAACGCUGGGCAGGAGCUCAAACACGCGUUAUUUUACAUGUAUGACAGGAAUAACACGUGUUCAUGAAAAAAGCCACACUGGGUUUAUUUUUAAUAAGUAAUCCACACUUAAAGUCAUCUUUAUUUUUUUUUUAAAUAGUUUUACAUUGUAUAGUCUAAGUCACAUGUAACAAAAAUCAGUCUUUUAUAAUUGCUUCAAAUCCAACCUAUUUACAUCACUACUUACUGUUUAAUGCCUUUAAAUAUCCAUCCUUUCUUUUCCUUCCACUCAACCACUUUAAAUGAACAUAUUUUGGUGUGUUUGUUUUCAGUGUGUUAAAAAUGUUGGUGCAGAUGUGCAUAGCUGUGAAAAUGACAAAACCUUUACAUCACAAAAACAUACGCAAUGUGAGCUUGGUGUAGUUUAUUUUUUAAUUAAAUCAACAGGUUUUCAUUUCUGACAUUCACUCGUAUUUUGUAUCCUGGUGCAGCUUAAUUAACAAAAUAACUGUGUGUGUGGCACUUUACAUCAAAACAUUAUGACUCAAAGAAACAGCUGACACAGCCUACAUAUUAUUUAUCAUGCACAUUAAGUAUUAAUGAGGGUUAGGAUAUUACUAGUAGAGAAGUUGCUGUGAGUUUCCAAACAGGUGAGGGUCAUGUGAUGCAGGUUGGCUUGUGUGAACUGGGUGUAGCUGUCAUAUUAAAACCCUGUUAUGACUUUUAAAGCUUUAUUAUAUUUAUAUUCUGUAAAGCUGCUCACAGUUUUUGUGCAUUAUUUUUUUUAAUGUCAUUUAAAUAAAUAAAAAUACAGUAUCUAAGCUUAAAGUGAUUAUUAUGUGGGCAUCCUGUGGGUAAAAGGCAAUUUCUGGACGUUAGGUAAGCCUUAAGUUUGUUAAUGUUGCAACUGGAAAAAGUUUUUAUAACUUAUAUCCUAUAUCUAUGUGGAUUUUCUAUACAUGUGUUAUAUAUAUAUAUAUAUUAUGUAUAUUUAUAAUUGAAGUCUGUAGAAUAACUAGAGAUUUUGUAAUGACUGUAAUGAAGCAGUUUUAUUUACAUUCCAGCACUUUAGGUUUGAAUGUGAAAAGCUCGGUGUAAUUCACACACUGAACAGCUUUUAUUCAUCUUUUCUUUUAACUGGACCUCUCUGAACCGUCAGAGUGUGGCUAGGUGCCGUUUUAUUGCGACCAAAGAGGUAAAAACACGACUUUUAAUCAUAAAACCUGACUGUAACUGCCCCCCGCUCACUUCGCAUGCGCAGUGAAGCAGGGAGGAGGGGGUCUGCUCUCGCUGCUCCAUCCGGGAACUUCAGAAUUACCAUUGACAGCCGAAGCGCAACUUUUCCCCAGGCAAAGUGAAAUCAAGCCGCGGACUCGGACAAAAUAUAGACCCCGUUUUUCAACUUAAAAUUAGCGAAAGAAAAGCGACCCGGCUGCCCGGUCGGACCCGUCGACGCUCGGUGGUCUUCUGGAGAGGAGCCGUGCGAGGCCCGAGCUCUUCCCGCCGGGUUUGGAGCACUUUUGAAGACGGGCGGAAAGUGGGUGAUGAGUCCUGGGCUGUAAAAAGAAGCGAGAACUUGCUUUGCAGCCCGAGUAGUUCUUCUUUCAAUUGUUAUUGUCGCUUAAAAAAAUCUUUAAAAUCACUCAAACUUGGUCUCGGCCGCGUCGAAAGUGGGAGAAAAGUGCUUUCCUGGUCGGAACAUGGAACUGCAAGGCCUGCAAGAGGCGCUGAAAGUAGAGAUCCAAUGUCAUCAGGUGGUGCACACAUGAAAGCAGGCUCUCAUGGACUACGUUAGAAUCUAAGCUUCAUGCACGUGGAGCUGUUACAGUUUUAUUUGUUGUUUGGAGCUGAACGGAGAGGAAAUCAUAAUGAGGGAAAAGUUUGGAUAAACUGAGAGGGAUCGAUAUGAACGCUAAGCAUGAGCCAUUCUGAUGAUUUGGCUGAUUUUUACUGCACCACCAGUGUGAAGAUGGAGAUCCUUCAGGUUUAAACGGCUACCAUCUUCUCCUGUUAAGGAAACUCUGGCUCCUGUCUGUUAGCAUGUAUUCCCUGAGCUCCCCACAGUGUCAGCAACAAUCAAAACUACAGCCAUCUUAAAAGUGCUGAAUGAUUUUAUCGAUAAAACAACCAACAAGCAGCGGCAUGCAGCCUUUUUUAAAGGCAUCUCACAGAGUGGAUCCUGCAGCUGUAAAGCACAGACUUGGUUUGAGAAUGAUUUAUCGGGCAGAUGUCAGUGUGUACAGACAGAAUGAAUCACUUCCAGCUUGUUUAAUGUAACUGAAGGCGUUCCCCAGGGUUCAGUACUGGGGCCGCUACUGUUUGUUUUAUAUAUGAACAGUCUGAGACUCUUACAGACCUUAUAGCUCUUACCCAGCAUUAUACGUGGUGUGUUCGGGUCAGAGGUCAUUUUGUAGACUCGGCUGUGCUGUUCUUAUUUAUAGAGCAGGUGAAUCUUCAGUCUGUGAGCGGCUGGUGUGGUCGAGUGUAUCUGAAAUGCUGAAGAAGUGAUGGGAGCACACAUCUUUCAGAAGUGUGUGAAAAUUUGUUUGAUAUUAUUUGAACUUUUCUGGUGACUAAGAUCAUGUUCUAACUAUACUUUCAAAUAAAA